CAGCCAUAUGUUGAAACACCAGUUCCUAUGUGAUCACCGAAGUUAAGCAAUGUCAAGCCUGGUCAGUACCUAGAUGGGUGACCGCUUGGGAAGACCAGUUGUUGUAAG